GCCUCACCUUAGCUCGAGCGCACGGAUACUGAAAAAGGUGUACUUUGCAGAAGUCAUCCGCUACAGCCACCACACGUUCAUUGUGGGAGCGGCAAAGGGAGUUGAUGUCUGUCCCAUCAGAGCCAUCGGGCCACACACCUAACACAACAGGAGACCUGGGGUUCUCUCACCUCCCUGUGUUCAGUCCUACAACCACAACCGCCCCACUUGGAUGGAAGUCAGCACACAGACCCGUCUCCUGGGAAAAGAGAAGAGUCUCAUGUACCUCUAGUUGUCCUGGAACUGCCAAUGUUGACAGCUGAGGAUGAACUUUGAAUGGCUUUUUUUCCCCUUGAUUUGCUGUUUGUUGAGACAACUUCUUACACUAUAGGCCAGCUUGGCCUAGAACUCUCAGUGAUCCUACUUCAGCUUUUCAAGUGCUGGGAUUCCAGGCAUGAACUACUACAUCCAGCUCUUGACUUUUUAUUUAUAUUGCAGAAUUAAGAUUGAUUGAUUGUGUAUACUAAGUAAAUACUCUACUGUUGGGCUCUAUCCCAAGACU